rnacentral:rRNA from 1 species
GACGAACGCUGGCGGUGUGCUUAACACAUGCAAGUCGAACGGUAAGGCCCUUUCGGGGGUACACGAGUGGCGAACGGGUGAGUAACACGUGAGUAACCUGCCCUCAUCUCUGGGAUAACAGUCGGAAACGGUUGCUAAUACUGGAUAUGAGCUUGCAAGGCAUCUUGUGGGUUGGAAAGAUUUUUUUGGUUGGGGAUGGACUCGCGGCCUAUCAGCUUGUUGGUGAGGUAGUGGCUCACCAAGGCUUCGACGGGUAGCCGGCCUGAGAGGGCGACCGGCCACAUUGGGACUGAGAUACGGCCCAAACUCCUACGGGAGGCAGCAGUGGGGAAUAUUGCACAAUGGACGGAAGUCUGAUGCAGCAACGCCGCGUGCGGGAUGACGGCCUUCGGGUUGUAAACCGCUUUCAAUUGUGACGAAGCUUUUUGUGACGGGAGCAGUAGAAGAAGCACCGGCUAACUACGG